rnacentral:lncRNA from 1 species
GAAAACUCAGGCUUUUAUAAUAAGCAUAUUCUUCCAACACAAAGCUGUCAUUGGGCGUCGAGAAUCAAAGUGUAUGUCAUGUCCUUAUCAAGUGGAUGAUGGUGUCUAGCAAAAUUAGAGCAAUCGUUCAUCUCACUGUCAAACCUCUCUGGCUUCUGAAAAUGCAGUGAGAUGAAAAGGACUUAGAUGCAUUUGAUAACAAACUCUUCCUGCAAAUACAUUUAUAUUAGUAGAGAUGAAAAACAAGCAAACAACAACAGCAACAAUAAAACUUUGAACACAUUUCCGCAUACUUUAGACACCUGUGAUGGAACUUAGAAGUCUCAGAAGGGAUGCCUGAAACCAGGCAACUUGUGUGGUACAACUUAGUGUGGCCUGCCAGUUGGUAACUGAAGACUGUUCCAUUUGUCCUGGUUUCAGCUGGCGUAGUCUGUUUUCAUCCUAGUAGCUGGCUUACCGAUCCUUUUUGGAGAAAAAGUCAGAUGCUGGAUGGAAGAGGUGACCAGAUGACAUGUUAAGAAGUGACCCGCCCCGUGUUGCGUGUGACACUUUGCAGUGUGGCAUCUUUUCUGUGAAGGUGAAGUUCAGCUGGAGCAAAACAGUCCACAGAGCCAGGAAUACACUGGUGCUACCAUCUGGGGAUCUCUUCAGUUUGGUGAUGGCAUUUCAAGAGGUAUGAAAUGCUGUAUCACUCCACAGGGAGAGAGAUUAAACAAGUUAAAUCCUAACUCAGUGAUAGUGUGCAAAGAAACAAACAUAACAGUUGCUGGGUGACAAUGCAAUUCCAACCACACCUAUUAGCUGCUGCUUUUUGCUUUUAGCAGGAGAGAGGGUAAUGUGAACUUUACUUUCAUGCACCAGUGGGGCAAAAAAAACCCACCCUAUAUUGUUGCUAAGACAAGUGAUGUUAAGUGUUAGGGACUAUUUUCAUGUGUACUGUUGCCUUUCCCAUGAUUCCUUAAACAGUUAUGAAAAAAAAAUUAAAAAGAUUCUCAGUUC